UCUGGCUCAGAUUGAACGCUGGCGGCAGGCCUAACACAUGCAAGUCGAGCGGUAGCACAGAAGAGCUUGCUCUUUGGGUGACGAGCGGCGGACGGGUGAGUAAUGUCUGGGAAACUGCCUGAUGGAGGGGGAUAACUACUGGAAACGGUAGCUAAUACCGCAUAACCUCGCAAGAGCAAAGAGGGGGACCUUCGGGCCUCUCGCCAUCAGAUGUGCCCAGAUGGGAUUAGCUAGUAGGUGAGGUAAUGGCUCACCUAGGCGACGAUCCCUAGCUGGUCUGAGAGGAUGACCAGCCACACUGGAACUGAGACACGGUCCAGACUCCUACGGGAGGCAGCAGUGGGGAAUAUUGCACAAUGGGCGCAAGCCUGAUGCAGCCAUGCCGCGUGUGUGAAGAAGGCCUUCGGGUUGUAAAGCACUUUCAGCGAGGAGGAAGGCGGUAAGGUUAAUAACCUUAUCGAUUGACGUUACUCGCAGAAGAAGCACCGGCUAACUCCGUGCCAGCAGCCGCGGUAAUACGGAGGGUGCAAGCGUUAAUCGGAAUGACUGGGCGUAAAGCGCACGCAGGCGGUCUGUUAAGUUGGAUGUGAAAUCCCCGGGCUUAACCUGGGAACUGCAUUCAAAACUGACAGGCUAGAGUCUUGUAGAGGGGGGUAGAAUUCCAGGUGUAGCGGUGAAAUGCGUAGAGAUCUGGAGGAAUACCGGUGGCGAAGGCGGCCCCCUGGACAAAGACUGACGCUCAGGUGCGAAAGCGUGGGGAGCAAACAGGAUUAGAUACCCUGGUAGUCCACGCUGUAAACGAUGUCGAUUUGGAGGUUGUGCCCUUGAGGCGUGGCUUCCGGAGCUAACGCGUUAAAUCGACCGCCUGGGGAGUACGGCCGCAAGGUUAAAACUCAAAUGAAUUGACGGGGGCCCGCACAAGCGGUGGAGCAUGUGGUUUAAUUCGAUGCAACGCGAAGAACCUUACCUACUCUUGACAUCCAGAGAAUUAGCUAGAGAUAGCUGAGUGCCUUCGGGAACUCUGAGACAGGUGCUGCAUGGCUGUCGUCAGCUCGUGUUGUGAAAUGUUGGGUUAAGUCCCGCAACGAGCGCAACCCUUAUCCUUUGUUGCCAGCGAUUCGGUCGGGAACUCAAAGGAGACUGCCGGUGAUAAACCGGAGGAAGGUGGGGAUGACGUCAAGUCAUCAUGGCCCUUACGAGUAGGGCUACACACGUGCUACAAUGGCGUAUACAAAGAGAAGCGACCUCGCGAGAGCAAGCGGACCUCAUAAAGUACGUCGUAGUCCGGAUUGGAGUCUGCAACUCGACUCCAUGAAGUCGGAAUCGCUAGUAAUCGUAGAUCAGAAUGCUACGGUGAAUACGUUCCCGGGCCUUGUACACACCGCCCGUCACACCAUGGGAGUGGGUUGCAAAAGAAGUAGGUAGCUUAACCUUCGGGAGGGCGCUUACCACUUUGUGAUUCAUGACUGGGGUGAAGUCGUAACAAGGUAACCGUAGGGGAACCUGCGGCUGGAUCAC
rnacentral:rRNA from 1 species